GAUGAAGAACGUAGCGAAAUGCGAUAAGUAAUGCGAAUUGCAGAAUUCAGUGAAUCAUCGAAUCUUUGAACGCACAUUGCGCCCGCCAGUAUUCUGGCGGGCAUGCCUGUCUGAGCGUCGUUUCGACCCUCGCGCCCGGCUUCUGUCGGGGGCGGUGUUGGGGAUCGGCCACACCCUUCAGUGGGAGGCCGGCCCCUAAAUUCAGUGGCGACCACGCUGUAGCCUCCCCUACGUAGUACUAAAACCACCUCGCAGGCGGAGAGCGGUGCGGCCCGCCGUAAAACCCCCCAACUUUUACAAGGUCGACCUCAGAUCAGGUAGGAAUACCCGCUGAACUUAAGCAUAUCAAUAAGCGGAGGA
rnacentral:misc_RNA from 1 species